rnacentral:lncRNA from 1 species
AAAGAGUGUAAAAUACCAGGUACUAAACGAACAACUGCUAUCUUGUCCCUUGCCCAACCCUGUGGGAAAGGAGAUUAGCUGGCAGUCGCCCAAAUUAUAACUGAUCGUUUCUUGGGUUCCAGGAACAUGGUUGGGAUGUGAAGAGCUCCUUUAACAUGGCACAGAGUCUGGUGACUGGAAGGUCUAGAAGUAUAUCAGAGGAAAGGAAAAAUUAAUGGAUAAUGACCAGAUUUUACAUCCACCUAAUGGCUUGGAAUGUUCCAGUGCCAAGAGAAGGCCUUCUUGUCGCAUGUGAUUUCAUAAUAAUUAGGGCCAGCUGUGUCUGUGCGAAUCAGGUCAAGCCAGAUGCCAAACCCUAACUCAAACACUUACAGGAAGAUCCUCAUUGCCAGGAGCCUCAAACGUCCUGCAGAAAAUCAAAAAAAGUGAAACCAUGUGCAAGAGUUUCCUAUUGCAAAAACAUCUGCCUCCUGUGUCCCCUCUUUCCCUGUUGUACGGCUAACACCAGAUCCCAGUCUCUUCAGUGGCACUCAACUUUUUCAAGUCACAAGAUGGAAGCGCUUUGGAAGAGGAGUAAAGGACCUGGACUCUGAUUCCAUGCCACCGCAAACUCGGGCAGGCACUUCAAAGCAGAGAGUCUCAUUUUCCACUUCUGAAAAACACAUGGUCUAGAUGAGCUCUAAGUCCUUUGCACUCAAUAAUUUCACAGUCUUUUUUAUUAUUAAUAUUAUUUUCAAUUGAAAAAUCAUAAUUGUAUAUUUAUGGGGUACAAUGUGAUGUUUUGAUAUAUGUAUUCAAUAAGGAAUUAUUAAAUCAAGAUAAUUAACAUAUCCAUCAUCUCACUUGCCUAUCAUUUAAAAAAAUUUGCCUA